rnacentral:rRNA from 1 species
CCUACGGGAGGCAGCAGUGAGGAAUAUUGGUCAAUGGACGAGAGUCUGAACCAGCCAAGUCGCGUGAAGGAUGACUGCCCUAUGGGUUGUAAACUUCUUUUAUAUGGGAAUAAAAUGUUCCACGUGUGGGAUUUUGUAUGUACCAUAUGAAUAAGGAUCGGCUAACUCCGUGCCAGCAGCCGCGGUAAUACGGAGGAUCCGAGCGUUAUCCGGAUUUAUUGGGUUUAAAGGGAGCGUAGGUGGAUUGUUAAGUCAGUUGUGAAAGUUUGCGGCUCAACCGUAGAAUUGCAGUUGAAAAUGGCAGUCUUGAGUACAGUAGAGGUGAGUGGAAUUCGUGGUGUAGCGGUGAAAUGCUUAGAUAUCACGAAGAACUCCGAUUGCGAAGGCAGCUCACUGGACUGCAACGGACACUGAGGCUCGAAAGUGUGGGGAGCAAACAGGAUUAGAUACCCGAGUAGUC